CUGAUGCAGCAUGCCGCGUGUAUGAAGAAGGCCUUCGGGUUGUAAAGUACUUUCAGCGGGGAGGAAGGCGGUGAGGUUAAUAACCUCGCCGAUUGACGUUACCCGCAGAAGAAGCACCGGCUAACUCCGUGCCAGCAGCCGCGGUAAUACGGAGGGUGCAAGCGUUAAUCGGAAUUACUGGGCGUAAAGCGCACGCAGGCGGUCUGUUAAGUCAGAUGUGAAAUCCCCGGGCUUAACCUGGGAACUGCAUUUGAAACUGGCAGGCUUGAGUCUCGUAGAGGGGGGUAGAAUUCCAGGUGUAGCGGUGAAAUGCGUAGAGAUCUGGAGGAAUACCGGUGGCGAAGGCGGCCCCCUGGACGAAGACUGACGCUCAGGUGCGAAAGCGUGGGGAGCAAACA
rnacentral:rRNA from 1 species